rnacentral:misc_RNA from 1 species
CCGUUGUCUCGKCGGUUUGGCCUGUUGUCUGCNCAMNNAACCCRACUUGCUUUUCGGAACCCCAAGUUGCUUUAUGUGCUUGCAUUGCGCUCCUCUUGCCCUCCGGGCGAAGGGGAUGCACGCUUAGGCCUUCCUCGUCGGCCCUCGGACGGUGUCUUGCCAAAGGUGCCCGUGUCGAUCGGUCGUUGAGGAUGCGCUAGAGCUUUUGGAUGCUGUGGAUGAACAGGGUGCGGGGCUUUGCCCCCCUUACCCCUUCUUGGUUGCGAUUCGGCAUUCUUUGUCGCUCUCAGAUGGCUGACGGUUUUGCUUGUGGAAGGCGCACCUGUUGCCUUGACCUCGUGCUGGGGUGUGGUUUCAGGAGGCGUCCCGCGGUGCGGACGUCGCUUAGGAGAUGUGUUACCUGGUUGAUCCUGCCAGUAGUCAUA